CCUACGGGAGGCAGCAGUGAGGAAUAUUGGUCAAUGGGCGCGAGCCUGAACCAGCCAAGUAGCGUGAAGGAUGACUGCCCUACGGGUUGUAAACUUCUUUUAUCAAGGAAUAAAGUGAGGCACGUGUGCCAUACUGUAUGUACUUUAUGAAAAAGGAUCGGCUAACUCCGUGCCAGCAGCCGCGGUAAUACGGAGGAUGGAAGCGUUAUCCGGAUUUAUUGGGUUUAAAGGGUGCGUAGGCGGUCGGAUAAGUUAGAGGUGAAAGCCCGGGGCUCAACUGCGGAAGUGCCUCUGAUACUGUUCGGCUAGAGAGUGGGUGCGGUAGGCGGAAUGUGUGGUGUAGCGGUGAAAUGCUUAGAGAUCGUGCAGAACACCGAUUGCGAAGGCAGCUUACCGGGCUACUACUGACGCUGAGGCACGAAAGCGUGGGGAGCGAACAGGAUUAGAUACCCCUGUAGUC
rnacentral:rRNA from 1 species